GAUGAAGAACGCAGCGAAAUGCGAUAAGUAGUGUGAAUUGCAGAAUUCAGUGAAUCAUCGAAUCUUUGAACGCACAUUGCGCCCCUUGGUAUUCCAUGGGGCAUGCUUGUUCGAGCGUCAUUUGUACCCUCAAGCCUAGCUUGGUAUUGGGUGCUUGUCCCGCCUCUCGCGCGGCGACUCACCUCAAAGUCAUUGGCAGCCCGCAUCUCGCCGGCCGUGAGCGCAGCACAGACGCGCUCUUGGCAACGACGGAUCGGCUCUCCAAAAGCUUAUUUCAACCACUGACCUCGGAUCAGGUAGGGAUACCCGCUGAACUUAAGCAUAUCAAUAAGCGGAGGA
rnacentral:misc_RNA from 1 species